UGCAAGUCGAGCGGCAGCGGAAAGUAGCUUGCUACUUUGCCGGCGAGCGGCGGACGGGUGAGUAAUGUCUGGGAAACUGCCUGAUGGAGGGGGAUAACUACUGGAAACGGUAGCUAAUACCGCAUGACCUCGAAAGAGCAAAGUGGGGGACCUUCGGGCCUCACGCCAUCGGAUGUGCCCAGAUGGGAUUAGCUAGUAGGUGAGGUAAUGGCUCACCUAGGCGACGAUCCCUAGCUGGUCUGAGAGGAUGACCAGCCACACUGGAACUGAGACACGGUCCAGACUCCUACGGGAGGCAGCAGUGGGGAAUAUUGCACAAUGGGCGCAAGCCUGAUGCAGCCAUGCCGCGUGUGUGAAGAAGGCCUUCGGGUUGUAAAGCACUUUCAGCGAGGAGGAAGGCAUUAAGGUUAAUAACCUUAGUGAUUGACGUUACUCGCAGAAGAAGCACCGGCUAACUCCGUGCCAGCAGCCGCGGUAAUACGGAGGGUGCAAGCGUUAAUCGGAAUUACUGGGCGUAAAGCGCACGCAGGCGGUUUGUUAAGUCAGAUGUGAAAUCCCCGAGCUUAACUUGGGAACUGCAUUUGAAACUGGCAAGCUAGAGUCUUGUAGAGGGGGGUAGAAUUCCA
rnacentral:rRNA from 1 species